rnacentral:tRNA from 1 species
GGAAGGGUGGCCGAGUGGUUAAUGGCAGCAGACUGUAAAUCUGCCCUCUUCGGAGUACGGCGGUUCGAAUCCGCCCCCUUCCACCA